GAGUCUGGNAAUUGGAAUGAGUACAAUCUAAAUCCCUUAAGGAGGANCCAUUGGAGGGCAAGUCUGGUGCCAGCAGCCGCGGNNAUUCCAGCUCCAAUANNGUAUAUUUAAGUUGNNGCAGUUAAAAAGCUCGUAGUUGGACUUUGGCGGGUCGGCCNGUCUCANGGCGAGCACCGACCUACUCGACCCUUCAGCCGCGAUGCGCUCCUAGCCUUAAUUGGCCGGGNCGCUCCGGNAUCGUUACUUU
rnacentral:rRNA from 1 species